GAUGAAGAACGUAGCGAAAUGCGAUAAGUAAUGUGAAUUGCAGAAUCCAGUGAAUCAUCGAAUCUUUGAACGCACAUUGCGCCCGCCAGCAUUCUGGCGGGCAUGCCUGUUCGAGCGUCAUUUCAACCCUCGACCUCCCUUUGGGGAAGUCGGCGUUGGGGACCGGCAGCACACCGCCGGCCCUGAAAUGGAGUGGCGGCCCGUCCGCGGCGACCUCUGCGUAGUAAUCCAACUCGCACCGGAACCCCAACGCGGCCACGCCGUAAAACACCCCACUUCUGAACGUUGACCUCGAAUCAGGUAGGACUACCCGCUGAACUUAAGCAUAUCAAUAAGCGGAGGA
rnacentral:misc_RNA from 1 species